rnacentral:rRNA from 1 species
GAUCCUGGCUCAGGACGACGCUGGCGGCGUGCUUAACACAUGCAAGUCGAGCGGGGAUAUAUUGGAUGAGAGCUUCGGCAGGAUUCCGGCAUAUUCUAGCGGCGGACGGGUGAGUAACGCGUGAGCAAUCUGUCCCAGACAGGGGGAUAACACUUGGAAACAGGUGCUAAUACCGCAUAAGACCACGAGGUCACAUGGCCAUGAGGUAAAAGGAGAAAUCCGGUUUGGGGUGAGCUCGCGUCCGAUUAGCUAGUUGGCGAGGUAACGGCCCACCAAGGCGACGAUCGGUAGCCGACCUGAGAGGGUGAUCGGCCACAUUGGAACUGAGACACGGUCCAAACUCCUACGGGAGGCAGCAGUGGGGAAUAUUGGGCAAUGGGCGAAAGCCUGACCCAGCAACGCCGCGUGAGGGAAGAAGGUUUUCGGAUUGUAAACCUCUGUCCUCAGGGACGAAGGAAGUGACGGUACCUGAGGAGGAAGCCCCGGCUAACUACGUGCC